rnacentral:rRNA from 1 species
UACGGGGGGAGCAAGCGUUGUUCGGAUUCAUUGGGCGUAAAGGGUGCGUAGGUGGCGCGGUGAGUCGGGUGUGAAAUCUCGGAGCUUAACUCCGAAAUUGCAUUCGAUACUGCCGUGCUUGAGGACUGGAGAGGAGACUGGAAUUCAUGGUGUAGCAGUGAAAUGCGUAGAGAUCAUGAGGAAGACCAGUGGCGAAGGCGGGUCUCUGGACAGUUCCUGACACUGAGGCACGAAGGCCAGGGGAGCAAACGGG